UUGCAUGAUGGGCUUCUGCAGCUUCC
rnacentral:piRNA from 1 species